rnacentral:rRNA from 1 species
GAUUAAGUUAUUAAGGGCGCACGGUGGAUGCCUUGGCACUAGAAGCCGAUGAAGGACGUUACUAACGACGAUAUGCUUUGGGGAGCUGUAAGUAAGCUUUGAUCCAGAGAUUUCCGAAUGGGGAAACCCAGCAUGAGUUAUGUCAUGUUAUCGAUAUGUGAAUACAUAGCAUAUCAGAAGGCACACCCGGAGAACUGAAACAUCUUAGUACCCGGAGGAAGAGAAAGAAAAUUCGAUUCCCUUAGUAGCGGCGAGCGAAACGGGAAGAGCCCAAACCAACAAGCUUGCUUGUUGGGGUUGUAGGACACUCUAUACGGAGUUACAAAGGACGACAUUAGACGAAUCAUCUGGAAAGAUGAAUCAAAGAAGGUAAUAAUCCUGUAGUCGAAAAUGUUGUCUCUCUUGAGUGGAUCCUGAGUACGACGGAGCACGUGAAAUUCCGUCGGAAUCUGGGAGGACCAUCUCCUAAGGCUAAAUACUCUCUAGUGACCGAUAGUGAACCAGUACCGUGAGGGAAAGGUGAAAAGCACCCCGGAAGGGGAGUGAAAUAGAACCUGAAACCGUGUGCUUACAAGUAGUCAGAGCCCGUUAAUGGGUGAUGGCGUGCCUUUUGUAGAAUGAACCGGCGAGUUACGAUUUGAUGCAAGGUUAAGCAGUAAAUGUGGAGCCGUAGCGAAAGCGAGUCUGAAUAGGGCGUUUAGUAUUUGGUCGUAGACCCGAAACCAGGUGAUCUACCCUUGGUCAGGUUGAAGUUCAGGUAACACUGAAUGGAGGACCGAACCGACUUACGUUGAAAAGUGAGCGGAUGAACUGAGGGUAGCGGAGAAAUUCCAAUCGAACCUGGAGAUAGCUGGUUCUCUCCGAAAUAGCUUUAGGGCUAGCCUCAAGUGAUGAUUAUUGGAGGUAGAGCACUGUUUGGACGAGGGGCCCUCUCGGGUUACCGAAUUCAGACAAACUCCGAAUGCCAAUUAAUUUAACUUGGGAGUCAGAACAUGGGUGAUAAGGUCCGUGUUCGAAAGGGAAACAGCCCAGACCACCAGCUAAGGUCCCAAAAUAUAUGUUAAGUGGAAAAGGAUGUGGCGUUGCCCAGACAACUAGGAUGUUGGCUUAGAAGCAGCCAUCAUUUAAAGAGUGCGUAAUAGCUCACUAGUCGAGUGACACUGCGCCGAAAAUGUACCGGGGCUAAACAUAUUACCGAAGCUGUGGAUUGUCCUUUGGACAAUGGUAGGAGAGCGUUCUAAGGGCGUUGAAGCAUGAUCGUAAGAACAUGUGGAGCGCUUAGAAGUGAGAAUGCCGGUGUGAGUAGCGAAAGACGGGUGAGAAUCCCGUCCACCGAUUGACUAAGGUUUCCAGAGGAAGGCUCGUCCGCUCUGGGUUAGUCGGGUCCUAAGCUGAGGCCGACAGGCGUAGGCGAUGGAUAACAGGUUGAUAUUCCUGUACCACCUAUAAUCGUUUUAAUCGAUGGGGGGACGCAGUAGGAUAGGCGAAGCGUGCGAUUGGAUUGCACGUCUAAGCAGUAAGGCUGAGUAUUAGGCAAAUCCGGUACUCGUUAAGGCUGAGCUGUGAUGGGGAGAAGACAUUGUGUCUUCGAGUCGUUGAUUUCACACUGCCGAGAAAAGCCUCUAGAUAGAAAAUAGGUGCCCGUACCGCAAACCGACACAGGUAGUCAAGAUGAGAAUUCUAAGGUGAGCGAGCGAACUCUCGUUAAGGAACUCGGCAAAAUGACCCCGUAACUUCGGGAGAAGGGGUGCUCUUUAGGGUUAACGCCCAGAAGAGCCGCAGUGAAUAGGCCCAAGCGACUGUUUAUCAAAAACACAGGUCUCUGCUAAACCGUAAGGUGAUGUAUAGGGGCUGACGCCUGCCCGGUGCUGGAAGGUUAAGAGGAGUGGUUAGCUUCUGCGAAGCUACGAAUCGAAGCCCCAGUAAACGGCGGCCGUAACUAUAACGGUCCUAAGGUAGCGAAAUUCCUUGUCGGGUAAGUUCCGACCCGCACGAAAGGCGUAACGAUUUGGGCACUGUCUCAACGAGAGACUCGGUGAAAUCAUAGUACCUGUGAAGAUGCAGGUUACCCGCGACAGGACGGAAAGACCCCGUGGAGCUUUACUGUAGCCUGAUAUUGAAAUUCGGCACAGCUUGUACAGGAUAGGUAGGAGCCUUUGAAACGUGAGCGCUAGCUUACGUGGAGGCGCUGGUGGGAUACUACCCUAGCUGUGUUGGCUUUCUAACCCGCACCACUUAUCGUGGUGGGAGACAGUGUCAGGCGGGCAGUUUGACUGGGGCGGUCGCCUCCUAAAAGGUAACGGAGGCGCUCAAAGGUUCCCUCAGAAUGGUUGGAAAUCAUUCAUAGAGUGUAAAGGCAUAAGGGAGCUUGACUGCGAGACCUACAAGUCGAGCAGGGUCGAAAGACGGACUUAGUGAUCCGGUGGUUCCGCAUGGAAGGGCCAUCGCUCAACGGAUAAAAGCUACCCCGGGGAUAACAGGCUUAUCUCCCCCAAGAGUUCACAUCGACGGGGAGGUUUGGCACCUCGAUGUCGGCUCAUCGCAUCCUGGGGCUGUAGUCGGUCCCAAGGGUUGGGCUGUUCGCCCAUUAAAGCGGUACGCGAGCUGGGUUCAGAACGUCGUGAGACAGUUCGGUCCCUAUCCGUCGUGGGCGUAGGAAAUUUGAGAGGAGCUGUCCUUAGUACGAGAGGACCGGGAUGGACAUACCUCUGGUGUACCAGUUGUCGUGCCAACGGCAUAGCUGGGUAGCUAUGUGUGGACGGGAUAAGUGCUGAAAGCAUCUAAGCAUGAAGCCCCCCUCAAGAUGAGAUUUCCCAACUUCGGUUAUAAGAUCCCUCAAAGAUGAUGAGGUUAAUAGGUUCGAGGUGGAAGCAUGGUGACAUGUGGAGCUGACGAAUACUAAUCGAUCGAAGACUUAAUCAA